rnacentral:rRNA from 1 species
GUCCACGCCGUAAACGAUGUCGAUUUGGAGUCUGGUGCCAUUAUGAGCGUGGGUUCCGAAGCUAACGCGAUAAAUCGACCGCCUGGGGAGUACGGCCGCAAGGUUAAACUCAAAUGAAGUUGACGGGGCCCGCACAAGCGGUGGAGCAUGUGGUUUAAUUCGAUGCAACGCGAAGAACCUUACCUGGCCUUGACAUGCUGAGAAGGUCCCAGAGAUGGGACUGUGCCUUCGGGAACUCAGACACAGGUGCUGCAUGGCUGUCGU